UUAGUCAACUCCUAUCAAAGUCGUUAUCUUUCGUCACGGGGACGUCUCGUUGUCACCGUCGUCGGAAAAAUAUAGUACCAUUGAUAAUAUUUUUCGGUUUACCGGGGCGUCGUAAGUAUUUGCAGUGCCCGGGGGGAAUAAUUAACCGAAGCAUUUGUGACGGACCAAAAUACAUUGUAUCUUUAUUGUAAUUCGCAAAAUAUCGAUACGCCCAUUUCAGAUUCUGAGUGGAGCG